UACGGAGGAUCCGAGCGUUAUCCGGAUUUAUUGGGUUUAAAGGGUGCGUAGGCGGUUUGAUAAGUUAGAGGUGAAAUGUCGGGGCUCAACCCCGAAACUGCCUCUAAUACUGUUGGACUAGAGAAUAGUUGCGGUAGGCGGAAUUCCCGGUGUAGCGGUGAAAUGCGUAGAGAUCGGGAGGAACACCAGUGGCGAAGGCGGCCUACUGGGCUCUAACUGACGCUGAGGCACGAAAGCGUGGGGAGCAAACAGG
rnacentral:rRNA from 1 species